UAGUAGAUGUAGAUUGUAGAUCUAUAGUAUAAUAAUACUACUUUUUUAUAGUAGAAAGUAGAUUUAUAAUGUAUCAAUUCUAUCUAAUCUAGAUCUAAAUCUAGACUUCACUUUCACAUCACACUAUUAUUGAUACAGACAGUGAAUGAAACGAAUGCAGUGAUUAUAGUUUAUACUGAUUAUACUUAUAGAUCUACCAGUUGAUAAUCAUCAUCAUCAUAGAUAAUAAUCUAGACUAGUAUUCUAGAUCUAUAAAUAAUCAUAGUCACCGUGAUAGUGCCCUUUUUAGUCAAUGUAGUCAAGUCAAGAUAGUGGAACGUAAACUCGAAGGUUUAAUACAAUACAGUAUAAGCUAUGACCUUCUAGACUAGAUCUAGCAUCUCUAGCUAGACUCUAACUUGUAGUUUGUAGAUGUUGGAAUUGGAUUGAAAUUCACCUUCCUAAAUUGUCUCUAAAGUCUGUAUCUGAUUUGAGAGGCCCAACGAGGCAAGUGUCUAUUAGUAGGCCUACUCUGUCCCUUGAUCUAUCUAGUAGGCCUACUUAGCUAGUGCAUUAGCCUUAGCCAUAGUGUAGUCAAAUCUUGACAACUAGUCUUCUAGAUCUAAGCUUCUAGAAUAAUUAGAUCUAGAUCCAGUUUAGAUUUAGAAUAUAAAAGUAUUUUACUAGCUAAAGUACUAAAUCUACAGAUCUAAAUUCUAGAUAGAUAUACAAUAUAUAGAUCCAGUUUAGAUUUGGAAUAUAAAAAUAUUUACUAGCUAAAAUUCUAAAUCUACUGAUCUAUACUUAAUAUUUUAGAUAUUAUAUGACAUCUACAACAAAAUAUUAUUAAGAUAUAAUUAUAGAUUCUAGACUAGUUAUAUAUGUACAUAAAAUAUAUAAAUAAAAGAUAAAAUUUAUGCAGGCCUAGAUCCCAUAAAUUUAUAAUUGAUCCAGAUCUAUCAGUAAAAGUUACCUUCGACAGGAAGUUUUACCCAAUCUAAUCUAUACAAGACAAUUUAUAAUCCAUGCCUCGCCUACACCCCAUACAUUAAAUAAUAGUUUCCAUUCCAUGCCAUGCCCAGACCCAUGAGUUCAUGAAAUAAUAAAUGAUGUGGUGUCAAUUAUGGAUCUAUCCCCUGAAAUUUAGGACUUUAAUAUAAAACUCACAUAUCUAGUUAAUUAUUUGCUAUGACACUCUGAUCAACUUUGACUUGUGUGAUACAUAUAUGUUUCUUAUCAGAUUUAAUGAAUGAAGUUUUGGUGCAUUUUAAGGCUACAAAAGUAUCAUCAGGUGUAUUCUAACCAUUGGUAUUUUUCCUCGCAACAUUUCUUUUCUAGUCUGUGAUAAAUUAUAAAUUUAAAAAAAUGUUUGUAAUGUUUCAGUUAUUAACAAGUAGAACCAUGCCAUCAGUUCUGAUGAUGUACCAGAAUGGCUCAAGGAUCAUACUUAUACUAUUUCUACUCUCUGGGCAGACAUUAAUAAUAUUGGCAUCCAUUCAAUAUUUAUUUUAUGUUUGGAAAUGGAAGAAAAAGGUAUGCAUUCCUGACAAGUCAAUGAUUGGUUGCACCUCUAAAGAUAACUUUCUGUUAUGAGAAAAGAUGAGAUUCUUGGACUCCUGCAUAGCACCACCAGAAAGUAAAAUCCCAUCAUGUUGCAAAAUAAAAGUCUUGGACCAAUUUUAAUUUAAGAUAUAUAUAUAUUAUACUGUAAGCUCUAUACAUAUUUAUGUGUAUCCUGUCAUUCAGCCAACAGGUUUGGAUUUAGUAUUUCUUUAAAUCUGUUUGAUAUUGUACUUGAAAACUAUUAAUCUCAGCCCCAUUAAAACAAUAGGGAGUGCAGUGAAUGAGUGGUAAAGCACUUGGCUUCUGAACUGAGGGUUCCUGGGUUCGAUUAAGACUGGGAUUUUCAAUUUCAGAAUUCAAAAGGCUAGGGAUACAUGGCAAUAGUAAGGAAUAAGUAAAGGCAGUUUGGGGAUCCAUGGCUGAAUGGUUAAGUCAUGGGUUUGAAUCUCUGUGAAGACUCAGAUUAAAAUUUUUUUUAGAUUUUUGGGUGCCCCUGAGUCCACCUAACUCUAAUGGGUAGCUGACUUUCGUUUUGGAAAGUAAAGAUGGUUGGUUGUUGUGCUGGCCACAUGAUGCACUGGCCAAAGAAUCAAAUGACCCUAUAGAUUGUGACGUCUGAAAUGGGAUUUUUUUUCAAAAGGUGGUUGGUUGUUGUGCUGGGUUCAUGACACCCUCGCUAACCAUGGGGCACAGAAACUGAUAAACUUUAUAUCAUCUGCCCCAUAGAUUGCAAGAUAUGUAAGGGAAAUUUUACUUUUUUAAAAUUAAAAUAAGAAUCUAUCAAAAGUAAACAUAAAAUAUGGUGCAUUCUCCUUAAAACUAAAACCUGGUGCGAAGGUUUAAAAUGUUGGCAAAAAAAAGCAACAUCAUAUAUUCUUAAUUCCCUUUGCAAAACUUACUGAGAAGAAUAUGCAUGUUGUUCCCUCAUAAGUUUCUUGACAGAGGAAAUCUUGUUUAUAUUAGAUUUGAAUUAAGCAAAUUAAGAAAAAAAUUAUAAUCAUUAUUUCAAAUGGUUGUAUCUAAACCUUUUAUGAAUUAUUUUUCAGUCAUAAGUAUAUUGAGAUUAAUGGAUAAUCAUGAAAUUGUUAAAUAAUUGCUGCUAUCAUUCCAUUGACUAAAGAUCCAUAAUUUUUUUUUUUUAAUUAAUUUCAAAAUGAUUUUUUUCAAGCAUAGAGUUCACAUAGAUCUUGAGUGAAUUUUUUUUUUUAUUUGACUAAUGCUUCAAUUUUAUUGUAUCAUAUUAGUUGUUAAUUUUUAUUACCCAGAAUAAUGCCUGUACUUCAGAAUAUUUAAAAAAUGAGUACACUAUUUUCAUGUAAUAAUGUAACUUGGUAUUCACACAAUGCUCAAAAUACACCAUAAUCUUUAGGCCAUACAGAUUUGUAUAAAUUAACUUGUUUAAAUACAUUGUAAAUGUAUAUUGUUUGGAUAAGAAUAAAGUUUUUCUGUAGACAAUUAUUGUUCAAGAUUUGUUGAUGCUCCUGCUUAAUCAAUUAUAUAUACAGGUCAUUAGUUUUAACACGUCUGAUAAUAAAUGACAGUACAAGUUAGUGAAUGAAAAUUUGUCAUUAUUUCAGCUGCUUUAGUCCUACAUCAAUGUGAGGUACCAGUACUUUGAUUGUGUCAUAUAACAAUUUAAAGCAACAUUUUGAAAUGAAUAGUCUGUAGAAUUGACAGUAAAUACAUUUAAGUGAUGGGCUGUGAUCUGCGUGAAUUGAGAGCUGAUAAUGUAUUGAAUUUGUGUUUUUGAUCUUUACUUCAAGUAAAUGUUAAUGAGCAAUUAAUUUUUAAUGAAUAAAUAAUUUAAA